rnacentral:tRNA from 1 species
GAGGGUAUAGCUCAAGAGGUUAAGCACAUGCUUAGCAUGCAUGAGGUCCUGGGUUCAAUUCCCCGGCAUCUCCU